UACGUAGGGUGCAAGCGUUAAUCGGAAUUACUGGGCGUAAAGCGCACGUAGGCGGAUUGUUAAGUCAGGGGUGAAAUCCUGGAGCUCAACUCCAGAACUGCCUUUGAUACUGGCGAUCUCGAGUCCGGGAGAGGUGAGUGGAACUGCGAGUGUAGAGGUGAAAUUCGUAGAUAUUCGCAAGAACACCAGUGGCGAAGGCGGCUCACUGGCCCGGUACUGACGCUGAGGUGCGAAAGCGUGGGGAGCAAACAGGG
rnacentral:rRNA from 1 species